rnacentral:rRNA from 1 species
AUGAAGAUGUACCGCGCGGUCCAUGAACGGAUGAGGAUAUUGCAAUCAAUGUCUGCAAAUGGCAUAGCAUUUGGCCUGCGAGGCAUUCCGGUCACUUCCCCAUACAAUUCAGUGCAUACAUAUCACGUGAUCCAGUUUGUGGACGAGAAGACUGGCACUCUACUGCAGCUCCCUGCCCGGGAAGUGGAUGGUUAUAUAGGGGGUUGGCGCAUUUUGUUGCAACCAUAUGACAGCGACCAAGAGCCGUGGUUUGAGUUCAAGAAUUUCAAGCUCCCCAGGGAUUUGUUUGUAAAUGUGGUGCCCACAGAGUAUUUGUUCUCCUACAAAUCAUUUCAGUCAAUCAAACUUCGAAAGGGAAUUUUACGACCAAUUCUUGAUUUUCUAGUUGAUACUCGGAAUAACUAUAUGGCUCAAAACAGUAACCCACGCAAGAGAAAGCCACCGCCCACAACAGAUGAUGGCGAGAUAUAUGUAGAUACACUUAUCUUCAUUGGCGGGGAAGGGCAGCGGUAUUAUAUUCUGCAAAUGUUUACUGUGCACGGUUUGCGAAGUAUUAAACCUGUGAGUCCGACCCAAGGUAUGGACAACUUAACUCAUUCAUGGGGUAACGGUUCAGAAUACAUCCUCGAACUGUUGCUUGUAGAGCUUGAGGAAGGUAUGGGAUUGCUGGAAGAUCCACGUGACGUGGCACGUCACGGGAACAGAAGAAAACGAGCUGAGAACAAUCUGAAGAAACUGUUCAAGAAGUGUCAGGGCCUGUUUAGAUCCUUUGGUCCAAAUGGACAAAUCAACUUGGAGUACCUCUGUGGAGGUGAUAUAAUGUUACUGAAGCACCACCCCGUGAAUGUUCGUAAAAUCUUAAUGCGGUUGGCUGGCUUCACUGGAGUCUUUCCAGAGGAUGUGAAAAUUUGUGAAACAAACACAUCUGACAAAGAAGAUGUCGAAGAGAUGGCAGAAUGUACUGUCCUCGUUGAGGGCUUACGGAUAAGUCAAGAUAUCGCUGAGAGUAUCAAAGAUAUGGUUGAGGUGGCUGAAUCCUCUCAACCGAAUCGAGAUGAAGAUUCUGGGACUGAACUUAGACUUGAUGAAAAACUUGAUGAAGAUGUGUUCAGCCAGUUCAAUCAUCCUUGUUCAUUUAUUUCAACCAGCGACAGUGUGACGAGUGAACUGAAAACAUUGGUUGAUGCCUUCAGCGGUGCCUUUUCAGUUGAAGAUAUAAGCAGUGCAUUCCAUAGGGCAAAUUGCGAUGUCAACAAAGCUGGGGAUAUGUUGACUGAUCUUCAAUCUUCGAUGCCCCAGGGUAAUGAAGAUUUCUCAAGUGAUGAGACCAGUGUUCCCCUGUUUGAUGAUAAACCGUAUGAAGAUAACUUCUGCCUAAUGGAUCAACCAAGUUCAUCAACAUCAACCAGUGACUAUGGAAAAAAAGAACUGAAAACGUUGGUUGAUGCUUUCAGCUGCGCCUUUCAACUUGAAGAUAUAGCCAAGGCAUACAACUAUGCAAAUGGUGAUAUCAAUAAAGCUGCAGAUUUCUUGACUGAUCUCCUGUCUCCAAGUACCGAGGCCAAUCUUCCCCAGUUUGGUAAGGCAGCAGAAAAUCCACACCGAACAAGAGCACUAUCUUGUGUCGAGGAAGCAGUUGAAACAUCAUCUAGCGAUCUGUCCAGUCUACUGACUUCAAAAACCAGUGAUCCUCAGAAAUAUGGGCUAAAAGAAUUUGUCACCAAUGCUUUAAGCUCUGGCUUUUCACUUGAUGAGGUAGUCAAUGCAUACGGCAGAUCUCAUGGUGAUGUCAAUAAGGCUGGGGAUUUCCUGUCUGACCUCAUGAUGCCCCAGGGUAAUGAAGACAAAGAAGCUGAAAAAAGCUAUAUGGAGACUCACAUAUCACAUAACCCAAGACCACAGAUUACUCCAGGAGAGUUGCUAGAAUCAAUGUUCACUGCACCUAAAGGAUCUGCAGAAGAACCAAAAGGAAGGCGGUAUGAAUUGGGUGCAAAUCGGAGGAGAGCUCCAGAUCAGAAACCAGUCGUAAAACCUCUUGAGGACAUUUCACCAUCCUCUAUGGAUCUUCCGGUGAAAAUCAUCGCAGGCAGCAAAGAACCAGUUGUGCGUGAUGAGGAUGAUUACCAGAACUAUCGUAAGGCUGCAAAGCAGCACUGGGUUAUGAUGAAUCAGUACUAUGAGAAGGCUGUUGAUGGUUUUAGGGAGGGUAACAAGAAAGAAGCCGAGUAUCUUCUUACGGAAGGAAAGAACUAUUAUAGGAUGGCUCAGUUAUCUGAUGAAAAAUCUGCUGGUGAGGUCACCAAGUGCAAACAAGAGUCCAAACAUGAGUUAUGUCUUGAUCUUCGCUCACAAGAUGCAGCAAACGUAGCAAAUCUUCUGAGACUUCAUCUUAGGCAGUUGGCUGACAACCCAUCUUUUGAGAAUUUGAGAGUUAUUAUUGGUGUUGAUGAUGGUACUCUCCCGAUGCAGCAAAGAAGAAGGAAGGUCAAGCAGGUUUUGAGGAAGAGCUCAGUUAGACUUAGUUGGGCUGAAGACGGGUACAAUCGUGGGAACAUCCUCAUUGGCAUCCAGCAGAAAGACCAGGGAGUAUAG